UACGGGAGCAGCGGUGGGGAAUAUUGCACAAUGGGCGAAAGCCUGAUGCAGCUAUGCCGCGUGUAUGAAGAAGGCCUUAGGGUUGUAAAGUACUUUCAUCGGGGAGGAAAAAACAAAACUAAUAAUUUUAUUUCUUGACGUUACCCGAAAAAGAAGCACCGGCUAACUCCGUGCCAGCAGCCGCGGUAAUACGGAGGGUGCGAGCGUUAAUCGGAAUUACUGGGCGUAAAGGGCACGCAGGCGGUUAAUUAAGUUGGAUGUGAAAUCCCCGGGCUUAACCUGGGAAUGGCAUUCAAGACUGGUUAGCUAGAGUCUUGUAGAGGGGGUAGAAUUCCAUGUGUAGCGGUGAAAUGCGUAGAGAUGUGGAGGAAUACCGGUGGCGAAGGCGGCCCCUGGACAAAGACUGACGCUCAUGUGCGAAAGCGUGGGGAGCAAACAGGGAUUAGAUACC
rnacentral:rRNA from 1 species